rnacentral:tRNA from 1 species
CAAUGGUCGGUACAGAGGGUUGCCAAGCCGCGAGGUGGAGCUAAUCCCACAAAACCGAUCGUAGUCCGGAUCG